rnacentral:rRNA from 1 species
GACGAACGCUGGCGGCGUGCUUAACACAUGCAAGUCGAACGGAAAGGCCCUGCUUUUGUGGGGUGCUCGAGUGGCGAACGUGUGAGUAACACGUGAGUAACCUGCCCUUGACUUUGUGAUAACUUCAGGAAACUGGUGCUAAUACCUGAUAGGUGCUCCUGCUGCAUGGUGGGGUUUGGAAAGUUUCGGCGGUUGGGGAUGGACUCGCGGCUUAUGAGCUUGUUGGUGGGGUAGUGGCUUACCAAGGCUUUGACGGGUAGCCGGCCUGAGAGGGUGAACGGGCACAAGGGGACUGAGAGACGGCCCAGAGGCCUACGGGAGGCAGCAGUGGGGAAUAUUGCACAAUGGGCGGAAGCCUGAUGAAGCAACGCCGCGUGCGGGAUGACGGCCUUCGGGUUGUAAACCGCAUUCGCCUGUGACGAAGCGGGAGUGACGGUAAUGGGUAAAGAAGCACCGGCUAACUACGUG